rnacentral:rRNA from 1 species
CAAGGUGGCUACGAGGAAGUGGACACAAACAAUAGAUGGGUAGCUUUGGCAAAAGGGUUGGGUUUAAAAAAAAACGAGGCUAA